GGCGGAGGUGGGACAGGCGGCCCAGGUGUCUGAGGAGAAGGGGGCCGAGGUGGGCGCGGCGCUAUGGGAGGUUCGGCCGGCGGCCACCGAAGCGUCCCGGGCCGAGUACGGUGAAGCUCCGCCGGCUGGCCAGGAGCAACGCGGAGCUGCUGUGACGGCGGCAGGACUAGGGAAGGGAAGCAGCGGCCGCGAUGGCCUGCCUCACGAAGCCGGGCCAGGAGAAGGCGGAGGAGAUUGAGAAACAGAAGCAGGAGCCAGUUGAUUUGAAACAGCAAGCACAAAAAGAUAAGAAGAUGGUGAAUGAACUUUUCUCUUUGUCCUCAUAACAGUGGAAUCUUCUGAGGAGGUUGAAAGUUCUGAUUGUAGUAUGAGGAACGAGCUAGUGCAAUUAACUGUUACAGGUUUUGAUUCAAAAGUACUGCAUGAAGAAUUUAAAAAAAAAAAAAAGGCAGACUAUUAUGCACAACAAAUAAAACAACUGGAAGAGAAAUGUCAGAAAAAAGUUAGAGAAAUUGGCCAAAUUAAAUUAGAACUGAAAUUAAUAAGGGAGUUCUACAGGGAACAAGCAGCUAUGGAGAAAGAGCUGGAAGAUAAAAGACGAGAAGAAAAAGUUGAGAAAAAGCAAACAAUGAUGGCAGAGACUGCCCAGCAUGAGACUUACUCGCAGCUGACCAGCACUGAGAGAGAGGUGUUGAAGGAGGAUGUUUGUCUUCACAGUGCAUUUGCUUACCAGCUGAAAGGGACAGUAGAAUUGGAGAAAAUCAAACAGAAGUUAGAAGAGGACAAAAGUCUUCUGUUGCAGGAGAAGGUUUCUGCUCUGGUUUUAGUUCUGUUCCAUUCUCCUCCAGGAAGGGGUCAGAUGCUUCUGCAGUUACUGAAUUUGAAGCUGUCUGAAGGAGAGCUCUUAUUCCAUCUUCAUCAUGGAGGAGAAAGAAGGAAGAAUUUCAUCUGCUAGUCCAUUAAGAAACCACUGAGGGUUUGAUUCAAAAAACGAUCCUACAGAUCAGUCGCCAGAAAGCACAGAUUGGAGAUCUGCAGCGUAAAGUAGAAAAGCUGGAGAUGGACUUGUAUCGCAUGGCUACAGAAUCUGAGAAAAAGACUCAGAAAAUACAGCAUCAGGCGCUGAUACAAAACCAGGCAAGCAUGGUGGAGAUCAAGAAGCUGCAGCAACUACUAGAAAUGAAGGAUCGGGAGAUGAACCGAGUGAAGAAACUAGCCCGGAAUAUCUUAAAUGAGAGGACUGAGGUGGAAAGGUUCUUCCUAGAUGCUCUGGAACAUGUGAAGCAGGAGAUCAUAUCCAGUAGAAAGCAGUAUAAGAAAAAGGCCCAAACUGCCUAUUACAGAAAAAUGAUGGAGGCAUGUGCAGGGAAGGAAGAAUUUCCCAAAAUCAAAACAUUCAAAAGCAACAUAAAUAGCACAAAUUGUGUGUACAGAGACCUAGAGGAAGCAAAGAAAUGCUACUGGGAAAAAAUGCAGUUUGAAAAAGUGGAUAUCAGUGAGUUGACGUGGGAACAAAAAGAACGUGUUCUGCGAUUGCUUUUUGCCAAAAUGAAUGGCACGAAUCCAUGGCAAUAUUCUGUUUCUUGAGCAAUACACCAGAGUUUUGACUAUUUCAGCUCCAGCUGCUGCUGAUACUGAAGAAGAAAGCAAAACUGGCAGGCUGAAUUAUCAGAUUCUUCAUCAUCAUCUUCUGCAGUAAUCCUUCUGCAUACUCAGAUGUUGACACCACCGAGUAAGGCAGCUGCACACUUUGCAUGAAGAACAGCCACAGCAAUUACCGACUCAUCUACACUUUUCAUUUGGGAAGUCAUCUUGUGAUAAAGCUGUAAAUUCUAAAUCCUCUGUCUGCUGCACCACUACUUUGACUAUAUGUUUGAAAUCCACCUGAAAUACAGUUAUUUUCCUCCUUCUUAAAGAUUUUAAUUCUUUCCAAGCCAGGAGCUCAGAUGACCCUGUACAAAGCACUAGGAUUUGGACUAGUGGUUAGAACUUUCUAUAUGAGUUGCUAUAAUUUGAUGAAGAUCUAGUUUCAGUUUGCAAUAAAAAGUCAUUUACAUG
ensembl:lncRNA